rnacentral:rRNA from 1 species
UACGUAGGGGGCAAGCGUUAAUCGGAAUUACUGGGCGUAAAGCGUGCGCAGGCGGUUAUGUAAGAUAGUUGUGAAAUCCCAGGGCUUAACCUUGGAACUGCAUUUGUGACUGCAUAGCUAGAGUACGGUAGAGGGGGAUGGAAUUCCGCGUGUAGCAGUGAAAUGCGUAGAUAUGCGGAGGAACACCGAUGGCAAAGGCAAUCCCCUGGACCUGUACUGACGCUCAUGCACGAAAGCGUGGGGAGCAAACAGG